rnacentral:rRNA from 1 species
GAUGAACGCUGGCGGCGUGCCUAAUACAUGCAAGUCGAGCGAACAGACGAGGAUCUUGCUCCUUCUACGUUAGCGGCUGACGGGUGAGUAACACGUAGGUAACCUACCUAUAAGACUGGGAUAACUUCGGGAAACCGGAGCUAAUACCGGAUAAUAUUUCGAACCGCAUGGUUCGAUAGUGAAAGAUGUCUUUUCUAUCCCUUAUAGAUGGACCUGCGCCGUAUUAUCUAGUUGGUAAGGUAACGGCUUACCAAGGCAACGAUACGUAGCCGACCGGAGAGGGUGAGCGGCAAGACUGGAACUGAGACACGGAACAGACGACGAAGGGAGGAAGCAGUAGGGAAUAUGCCGCAAUGGGCGAAAGCAUGACGGAGAAAAGCAGCGGGAGUGAAGAAGGGCUUCGGAUCGUAAAACGAUGUUAUGAGGGAAGAACAAAAGAGUAAGUAACUGUGCACGUCUUGACGGUAACUAAGCAGAAAGCCACGGCUAACUACGUG